UUACUGGGGAUAUAAGGAAGAGAAUAGGAUUAGUUAUAUGUAUUAGUAAGGGAAAAAGGGAUAAAUAGGAGUGAAAAGAUUAGAAAACGUGGAUUGGGUUAUGAAAAUCGUGGAGCGUGGACGGAGUCACGUCGAGAUCCGAAAUUUUGUGAAUAAAACAAACAGUUUGAAUUUGAACCGGCAAGGAAUACAGCCACUAGAACCGGGCCGGAAGAUUUCCUGGAGAGGAAAACUGGAGUCCGAGAAAGUCGACUGCAGAGAAGAAGACGAUACAACGGGACCUGAGUGAGUUCGUUCCAGUUGCGCGUGUGUGAGCCAAGUAGCGCGGGACGUGUGAAGGGGGGGGGUGAAAGAGGUCGAGUGAGCGGCCAGGGCGAUUCUAGCCACACCGCACGACCGUUGCAUCGCCGUCCAGUGCGUGCCACACGUUUGGGCUCUUUUACCAAGUGAAAACCUCGAAAUCCUAUUCACACACACACACACGCGCACACGUAUACACGAACCUAGAUAAAUUUAGGGCUGACCGGCCACGGCCUGCGAUCAGCGAGCCCACGUUAUUGAACUUAAAGAAAAACAAAUAAUCCGCACUCCAAACACCGUUCCACUGUAAAUGUUAUUUUGUGCCGUGUGUUGUCCUUUAUUCUGUAUUUAGUAUAAGCUUAAAACGUUUAACGUAAAAUCUUGGCCAGUGAAAAAAAAUAUGUAUGUAAAAACACCAACACCUUUCACAAACGUAAAUCUGCGAUCAGCUGGUCAACGCCAGAAGAUUAACCCUUAGCGGGUGACGCGGGGGUCCCAUCAGUCCACCGUAUUUGGUCGAGUGAAUUGUGGAAAAUAUUGUUUAUGUCCCGGGGACCCUUAACAAGAGCUCUUGGUAGGUCAGGUCUCCGUAGGGGCCCGAGUUGAAUUAACUCCCGUAAGACGGAUCCAGUCCCCACUCACCUACACAUAGUCCAGUACGAAUGGGUGAGGGUAUCCCUGUAGGUUAAACGAAAUUGCAGCAGUUAUUUCCGUGUUUGUCUUUGUGUCGAACGUUUUGGUGUUUCUUUUUGGUUAGGGAUAAUUUUGAGUAUAGCUAUUUAUUAAUAAGAAAUAUGAAGUUGUCAAUUUAUAAUUAUUAAAGCUUGGAUAUAGACUGAAGUAUGAUGCGUUAAAUUUAAAAUAGAGGGAGGACGCGUGGCGUAAGCCAUGGAUUAGGCCAGCCGUUACCGUUCCAGCAGAGGGUGGCCAAAAUGAACGUUGUGUUUGGUCACAGGUAGGGCGGGCGCGCGAAGUGGUAACACCCAAGCUUCACCCACUUGAUAGCCGUCUGUUUAUGAUUUUCUUUGUUGUUGUUAGGUUGUUGUUAGUUCUGAUGUCCCGAGAAGUAGUAUGUCUCCUUUUUUGUCUACAUUUGGCGGGCAAGGGGAACUACCCAGCCCUGGGGUCGACAGCUAGCCGGCAUUGCCCUCUGGGAAACAAGCUAAAUGUAACAAAUGGCGCCCAAU